rnacentral:tRNA from 1 species
GCCUCUAUGGUCCAAGGGAAACGACAUCUUCCUCCUAAGAAGAUAAUCUAGGUUCGAGUCCUAGUAGGGGCA